rnacentral:lncRNA from 1 species
CAGGGUCCUGAAUAUUAAGUGUUAGUAAUUUGAUCCAGUACUUUAGGGGAACACACACAUACAGUUACAAUGCAUAGCUUAAGCAGUAUUUUUUUUAAAAAAAGACAAAAAACAUAAAACAUUGUACACAUUUUUUCAAUCCUCAGUUUUAUAUGAAAGAAGACUUAUUUUAAAGGGCAAAAAUAAAAAAAAAAUAAAAAUCAAAAACUCAAACCAACCAAUCAGAAACCCCCAACCAAAUGAGCUCUUGUUUAUCUCCAAAGCUUUACAGGCUUCUGUGCAAUUUAUUUGUAAAUUUCUGUCACUCAAAACCAGUGAAGCUCAAUAUCAGAUCCAUAAGCAUCUCAUACAGACCUGCAGCAGUCCUCCUUUCAAAUCAAUGUACAUUUUUGGAAUAGAUUGCUCUGGGCCAGGAUCACCGCUGUGCUUACACCACUUGGCUUCCACUGUAACCGAGCAGCAAAACGGGCCGAUCAGAGACCUGGUUCUUUCUUUGAGACAUGUUUUAAGCAGGAAAUCUUUUAUGUCCAGGACAAGACAUGAUCCAUGGAUUCCUGAAAAGAGAGACAGAGACUUUAUCCUGCUGGUAGUGUCUCCAAAUUUUCGUGAUUGUUGUCUGGAUUCGCUUCAGGUUGAGACUGUGAAUGCAAACCAGUAAGAAAUUUCUCAUACAAGCACUCCCACAACAUCCAUGGAAUUAUCUGUGUGGACAACUGCUCUCCCGUCCAAGCAAGAGAAUCACAGUUGGACAAGAAAACGUGGGACUUUUUGUUCAGCUUGCUCAUCCAGCAUUAUUGCAUAUACUUUAUGCAGUGUUGCAGUUAUGGAGCAGCCAUCUCCAGUGAUAAUCAAGAACGCCAGCACUCCAUGAUGCCACUCCUUUUGGUCUGAGUUUGGACUUUAUUCUGCAAAACUGGUGAGUGUAUCAGCCUCACAUACAGUCUUACGCCAAGAAAAAGGCAUUUUAAGGAACUGCUAUGCUCAGUCUGGUUAUUUAGAGGCAUUGCAGUAUUUGGAAAUACAUUUUUUUAAUAAAAUCUACAUGAAACUUUGGUUUUAAAGUGGAGAAAUUCUCAGCAACUAUUGCACAAUUCUGCAAUAUAUAGAAAUGUUCUAUACUUCUACUGGAGUAUAUGCCAAGUUGCAGAAAUAACAAAAAGGAAAAAGGAAUGCCAUAAUACAAGUGGUUUUAUUUAUGUUUUCUUUCACUGGGAUUACACUUGGAAGGAUUAUGUUUUGCAGUCUUCUGCAGUCAUCUCCACGAAGUACAAAGAAAACACAAUAUCCAACAGCUUAACUACAAAAUUGAGCAUUCAGCACAUAAUCCUGCUGCUUCAAAAUCAGCAGUGCAGUUCUCAAACACUGUGUAAACAAGUGAGAAAUGAAGAUGCAAUUAAGAAGAAGUUAAUAAUACACAUUACAAACACCUCCACAGCCUGAGUUCUACAAAUUUCAGGUAAAGCUCACAGACCCAGUGAGAGACUUCUUUUCUCACUGGGAUAAGAUUGCUCUUCAAAGCAAUUCUACCUACUUGUACUUUGGAGAACAAAGUGAAUCUUAGUAUCAAGUUUUC